rnacentral:rRNA from 1 species
UUCUCUUGAGAGCGGCGGACGGGUGAGUAAUGCCUAGGAAUCUGCCUGGUAGUGGGGGAUAACGUUCGGAAACGGACGCUAAUACCGCAUACGUCCUACGGGAGAAAGCAGGGGACCUUCGGGCCUUGCGCUAUCAGAUGAGCCUAGGUCGGAUUAGCUAGUUGGUGAGGUAAUGGCUCACCAAGGCGACGAUCCGUAACUGGUCUGAGAGGAUGAUCAGUCACACUGGAACUGAGACACGGUCCAGACUCCUACGGGAGGCAGCAGUGGGGAAUAUUGGACAAUGGGCGAAAGCCUGAUCCAGCCAUGCCGCGUGUGUGAAGAAGGUCUUCGGAUUGUAAAGCACUUUAAGUUGGGAGGAAGGGUUGUAGAUUAAUACUCUGCAAUUUUGACGUUACCGACAGAAUAAGCACCGGCUAACUCUGUGCCAGCAGCCGCGGUAAUACAGAGGGUGCAAGCGUUAAUCGGAAUUACUGGGCGUAAAGCGCGCGUAGGUGGUUUGUUAAGUUGGAUGUGAAAUCCCCGGGCUCAACCUGGGAACUGCAUUCAAAACUGACUGACUAGAGUAUGGUAGAGGGUGGUGGAAUUUCCUGUGUAGCGGUGAAAUGCGUAGAUAUAGGAAGGAACACCAGUGGCGAAGGCGACCACCUGGACUAAUACUGACACUGAGGUGCGAAAGCGUGGGGAGCAAACAGGAUUA